GUGUCAGCCGCCGCGGUAAUACAGAGGGUGCGAGCGUUAAUCGGAUUUACUGGGCGUAAAGCGUGCGUAGGUGGCCAAUUAAGUCAAAUGUGAAAUCCCUGAGCUUAACUUAGGAAUUGCAUUCGAUACUGGUUGGCUAGAGUAUGGGAGAGGAUGGUAGAAUUCCAGGUGUAGCGGUGAAAUGCGUAGAGAUCUGGAGGAAUACCGAUGGCGAAGGCAGCCAUCUGGCCUAAUACUGACACUGAGGUACGAAAGCAUGGGGAGCAAACAGGAUUAGAAACCCUCGUAGUC
rnacentral:rRNA from 1 species